rnacentral:tRNA from 1 species
GUCCUGUUAGUACAACUGGCAAGUGCAUUUGUCUUUGAACAAAAGAUUGGGGUUCAAAUCCCCAGCAGAACA